AGAGUUUGAUCCUGGCUCAGGACGAACGCUGGCGGCGUGCUUAACACAUGCAAGUCGAACGGUGACCCCUCUUCGGAGGGUGAUCAGUGGCGAACGGGUGAGUAACACGUGAGCAACCUGCCCCUGGCGUCUGGGACAACCAACUGGAAACGGUGGCUAAUACCGGAUACGACCCGCCAUCGCAUGGUGUGUGGGUGGAAAGUUUUUCGGCUGGGGAUGGGCUCGCGGCCUAUCAGCUGGUUGGUGGGGUGAUGGCCUACCAAGGCGGACGACGGGUAGCCGGCCUCGGGAGGGCGACCGGCCACACUGGGACUGAGACACGGCCCAGACUCCUACGGGAGGCAGCAGUGGGGAAUAUUGCACAAUGGGCGAAAGCCUGAUGCAGCGACGCCGCGUGAGGGAUGACGGCCUUCGGGUUGUAAACCUCUUUCAGCUCCGAAGAAGCGAAAGUGACGGUAGGAGCAGAAGAAGCACCGGCUAACUACGUG
rnacentral:rRNA from 1 species